rnacentral:lncRNA from 1 species
GAAAAUCUCAUCUUACCUUGUUCCAUCUUUGUUAGGGAAGCGACCCCCCUCAGUCUGGCAAGGAGUAAAACUGCCAUGGAUAGAUGCUGAAAGUAAACAACAAGAUGGGAGGGGCAUCAGUGAGGUGGCUCUGGUUCCCAUGUCACCAUGUCUUGUGGAGAGAUGCAGCAGACCCCCAUGGAGACCACAUGCACAGGAGUUGCACCACAGCUAAGGAGCCAAGGCCAAGGGCUGCAUAUCUUCAUUCGCAUCUGAGCGAAACAAGGCUGUUUUGGUACACACUGGGAAGGAGCAGGGUGUGAUGCAUGGCAGACAGUUCUGCGUUGUGAGGGUGUCAGGAGUGGCUGAAUAGUCCUGCUGGUGUGAGGGUAUUCAGAAUGAGGAUGGGGAUGCAGCAGGGUCUUCUUACCAACUGCAGCUGCUGCCUGACUCAAGGGACAGGGUGUCUUAUGCUGCUGCAGGGCUGGAUCUAGGGGGAAAAGAAAGCAUUAAAUACUCCCCUUCUCCAACUCCCACACCUCUUAGGGACUAAAGUAGUCCUUCCUUCCUCAGAUGCCCAGGUUCUUGUUCUUUCCAUAGCCACAUAGUCCCUUUGUUUUACGUCACUGGCCACUAUUUCUCCUCCCUUCACAAGGGCCUCUGCCACCUGCACCCACAUGGGUGAUGACUAACUGAGCACUGUGUUAGAACUUGAAC